GACAAAAAAAAGACCCAAAACUAUUCCGAUUGUUAUGGGUCUAGGGGAAUGGCUCACUAGGAGCCGUGCGCUACUGUUGUCUACCCUAUGGGUAAAAAAAGGUUUAAUCACAUCAUUGCUAAAGACUAAUGAUAUAGAGUGUAGACCACCUU
rnacentral:sRNA from 1 species